UACGUAGGUGGCAAGCGUUGUCCGGAUUUACUGGGCGUAAAGGGAGCGUAGGCGGACUUUUAAGUGGGAUGUGAAAUACUCGGGCUUAACCUGAGUGCUGCAUUCCAAACUGGAAGUCUAGAGUGCAGGAGGGGAAAGUGGAAUUCCUAGUGUAGCGGUGAAAUGCGUAGAUAUUAGGAAGAACACCGGUGGCGAAGGCGACUUUCUGGACUGUAACUGACGCUGAGGCUCGAAAGCGUGGGGAGCGAAC
rnacentral:rRNA from 1 species